GGCGCCAUGUAGUGUUCGCGGAC
rnacentral:miRNA from 1 species